rnacentral:rRNA from 1 species
UACGUAGGGGGCGAGCGUUGUCCGAAGUUACUGGGCGUAAAGCCCGCGUAGGCGGCCACUUAAGUCUGGGGUGAAAGGUUCAGCGCUCAACGCGAACAGUGCCUUGGAUACUGGGUGGCUUGAGUCUGGGAGAGGGUAGUGGAAUUCCCAGUGUAGCGGUGAAAUGCGUAGAUAUUGGGAGGAACACCAGUGGCGAAGGCGGCUACCUGGACCGGUUCUGACGCUGAGGCGCGAAAGCGUGGGGAGCAAACAGG